UACGUAGGGUGCAGGCGUUACUCGGAAUUACUGGGCGUAAAGCGUGCGCAGGCGGUUUCUUAAGUCAGAUGUGAAAGCCCCGGGCUUAACCUGGGAACUGCGUUUGAAACUGGGAGACUUGAGUGUGGCAGAGGGGGGUGGAAUUCCACGUGUAGCAGUGAAAUGCGUAGAUAUGUGGAGGAACACCGAUGGCGAAGGCAGCCCCCUGGGUUAACACUGACGCUCAUGCACGAAAGCGUGGGGAUCAAACAGG
rnacentral:rRNA from 1 species